UACGUAGGGUGCGAGCGUUGUCCGGAAUUACUGGGCGUAAAGAGCUCGUAGGUGGUUUGUCGCGUUGUCCGUGAAAACUCACAACUCAAUUGUGGGCGUGCGGGCGAUACGGGCAGACUGGAGUACUGCAGGGGAGACUGGAAUUCCUGGUGUAGCGGUGGAAUGCGCAGAUAUCAGGAAGAACACCAAUGGCGAAGGCAGCUCUCUGGGACGGUACUGACGCUGAGACGCGAAAGCGUGGGGAGCGAACAGG
rnacentral:rRNA from 1 species